UCACUUUUCAAUGUGUUGAAGGUUCCAUGACUUGAAACAUUGACUCCUUAUAAAUCACCCAACCUGCCGUAUUUUCAGGCAUUGAUUUAAGUUUGAUUUGGCGUCAAAAUAAUUUGAAAUUGACCAGGAUCAUGGGGCACCUUCCUAGGUGUUGCCAUUAGAUAUGCCUCUGCCACAUCUGGCCUUGGAGGUCCUUUUUUGGUCUCAAGUGUCCAAGAACAAUAUUCUGCAGUAAGCUCAGACUGGGUUUAGAUCCACUAUGCUCAGAUCAGAUUUUAAUUGAUUGGAUUGGAACAUAAAGCAAUGCAAGCAGGCCCUUCAGCCCACCAAGUCCAUAUCAAACACCCAUUCACAUUAGUUCCAUGUUAUCCCACUUUCUCAUCCACUCCUUAUACAUUAGUGGCAAUUUCUUCAUUUAAAGCACUUUUUGAAAAUUACUGCAAACAAAAAUAUUUUUUUAAUUGCAUAAAAUGCUUUUUUUUUAAAUUAUUUUUGAUUGCAGUAAUUUUUUAAAGUAUUAAAAAUGAAGAGAUUUACCAGAAUGCUGCCUUGAUUGGCGAUUACCUGUCCCGUUGAGUUACUCCAACAUUUUGUGUCUAUCUUCGAUUUAAACCAGCAUCUCAACUUCAGUACUUUCCGACACACUUUCUGCGUACAGGUCAGCUGUCACAUUGCAAUAUCAACCACUCCUUGAAGAAAGUAAUUCAUUGGGGAUAUAGUAACAUUGGUGGACUCGGUGGACUGCACAGUGCAUACUGUACUAACCGGGGCGAUUGUGCUUAUGUACAGGGAUAGUCCUGCUAAGCUGUAUGCAAAUAAUGUAUUUCACUGUACCUGGUACCCGUGACAAUAAAGAAACAAUUGAAUCAUUAACAUUAUAAUAAAAUCAUUGAAAAUGCAAUCAUAUCAUAAUCUCACAGACAGGGCAACAAUACAAACACGGUAUCAAUGGACAUCCACCGGGCCUGUUACAGCAGUGUCAAAAUGCUGACUUUGAAUGAUUACGAACUGCAUAACAUGAUGCCAUAAAAAUGAAUCAUAAAUUCUAUGGGGUGGGAGAUUGCAAUCUUCACAUGGUCUGCCCUGUUUCGACGAAUGCAAUCAACCUGGCGUGCACAAUCAAAUAAGAUCAAAUAGAACAAGAUAUCCUACAACUUUAGGCUGUGCACGCCAUACGCAAGAAGAAGAAUAAAUUCUAUAUCCUCUUUCUACCAUGGAUUUAAUGGUAGAAAGAGUCAGCAUUAAAGUAUCAGAGAGUAGCAUUAAACUAAGACCUACGAUUCUCUGCAAAUUCCUUCCCAUGUUGUGCUGCUGCAAGUAGGAAUUUCAUUGUUCUACCUAAGGCCUGGGUAUAGAGUUGAUGUGGAGAAGAGGAUGUUUCCACUAGUGGGAGAGUCUCGGACUAGAGGUCACAGCCUCAGAAUAAAAGGACAUUCCUUUAGGAAGGAGAUGAGGAGGAAUUUCUUUAGUCAGAGGGGGGUGAAUCUGUGGAAUUCGUUGCCACAGGAGGCUGUGGCGGCCAAGUCAGUGGAUAUUUUUUCACACAGAGAGUGGUGAAUCUCUGGAACUCUCUGCCACAGAGGGUAGUCGAGGCCAGUUCAUUGGCUAUAUUUAAGAGGGAGUUAGAUGUGGCCCUUGUGGCCAAGGGGAUCAGGGGGUAUGGAGAGAAGGCAGGUACGGGAUACUGAGUUGGAUGAUCAGCCAUGAUCAUAUUGAAUGGCGGUGCAGGCUCGAAGGGCCGAAUGGCCUACUCCUGCACCUAAUUUCUAUGUCUCUAUGUUUUAAGGCAGAGAUAGAUAGAUUCUUGAUUAGUACAGGUGUCAGGGGUUAUGGGGAGAAGGCAGAAGGGGUAAGAGGGAGAGAUAGAUCAGCCAUGAUUGAAUGGCGGAGUAGACUUGAUGGGCCGAAUGGCCUUAUUCUGCUCCAAUCACUUAUGACAAUAAAACUCUGGACUCAACCCUCAUGAUGUCGCCAUCUCUGAGCAGAGACACGCGUGCGCGGUGGCAGCAGUGCCGGCAGCGUUGAAGGCGCGCAUGCGUGCGGUGGGCUCUCUCCACAUGCCGCGCACGCCCGGUGUCAACAGCACCGGCGCUGUCGGCAUCGCGCCUGCGCACAGCAGGUUCGCUCUGCGGGGGGGCGCGCGCGCGUGGCCGGAGCGGUCAACGGCGCAUGUGCGCGCACGGCGACGGCAGGUUUAACUCUCCCCUCCCCUUCCCUUCCCUUCCCAACAAUGGGGUCCAGUGGAGACACGACACGACGCGACACGACGCGCUUCACUCCCGCCCGUUGUCAGCAUCUCACCGACCUGACGCGCGGCGGGGAUGGCAGACUCACCUCAUAAUGCUUCAUGGCGCCGCUCGUGCCGCCAACUCCAAACCGCCCAACGGUCGCCGGCAACCCCGCGCCAACCACGUGACUGCGCCGGGGGGAGGGGUGGGGCCUCGCUCACCAGGCGGCCAAUCACCGCCUCGCUUCCCCCACAACCAAUCACCGCCCUCCCUGUGAUCCCACUGGACCAAUCGCCGCCCAGCGACCCCGAUCUCCGCCUCCAGCCAAUAGGCUGCCCGGAAAUGAAUUCCCGGGACCAAUCAAAAAGGAGAGGACCGUUUGCUCGAUCGGCCAAUCAGGAUGCGCCUUUAUGAGACUUACUAAGAAUGUAUGAUGUCAAAGAAAUGCCGUGCAUCAUUGUUCUCAAACCCAAUGGAGAUCUUAUCAGCAGGAACGGAGUGGCAGAGAUCUCCAUGAUGGGAGUAAAUUGUUUCAAGAAUUGGUGGGAAGCAUCUGAUGCCAUUGACCGGAAUUUCCUGCUGGCAGAAGAUCUUGAGGACUGGACCUGGAAGAGUCUGACAGACCCCUUAAGGCAGCUCAAGUACAAGAUUAAAAAGGUGACUACAGAUAUGGCUGAUGAAACCGAGUGACUAGCAUGGAACUGAUGAUUCUACCCAAUCCUUUCCUCUAUCCUUCUUGGCUGUAUCCAACUUCCACUCCAGGACAUCCACAUUUUAAUUACCUAAUGUUUGCAGAUCCCUGGAGCAACAAUUAACUCAAAAUUACAGGAAAUCAUUAUCUUGAGAAUAUGUGAAAUUUCCUCCAUAAUUUUCCAACCCCUCAGAAGAGAGGGAUUAUCUCAGCUCUAGAUUACCGUGUGAAGUUGAAAUAACCUGUGACUUAAUCUACAAAUAGAAUAACUAGGUUAAACUAAAAUACACAGUUGGAUUAGUAUCAGGCAAUGUAUUCUUCCCUUCAAAUCUAGUCUCUCAUUUCCCUUAUUCCUAACCAGUCCGAUGAGGGUCACGACCAGAAACGUCACUCCCUCCUUCUCUCCAGAGAUGCUGCCUGCCCCGCUGAGUUACUUCAGCUUUUUGUGUCUAUCUUCGGUUUAAACCAGCAUCUGCAGUUCCUUCCUAAACAGAAAAUAGAUGGUCAGAGACAGAAUUACCAGCCCAGGAUCCCAAACUAUGGGACCCUCGUCUUUAAGUGUAGAGUAAUUAAUUGGUGGAGAGUAAUGAAGUUAGAUUUAAUUAACUCUGGAGUAAUAACUUUUUACUUUGUAACAAUGAUACUGUCUUGUGUCACACUAGGUAUAAUGAGACUCCUCCUUGCAACAAGACACAAGAGUUCUCUGUAUGUGAUACAUGUUUAUUCAUCAUUGACUGUCCAGUUGUGCACCUGUGUUUAACGUGUAUGUUUUAACAUGUGCCUGUCUUCCACUUGUAGAUUUGUGCAGAGCUGUCUCUGUUGAUUGUAAUACUUUGGACACUUCAUUCUAUCAUUUUCUUAUCUUGUUUUAGCCAGUUUAGUCACCAUCCAUUUAAACUGUGGAGAGAAAGUGUGCAGCUUUUGGUAUGGAGUAAAAGGGCAAUAAAGAUUUGUUUGUUUAUUAAUUCCUGUUUUCAUUGAUAUUCAGGGUCUAAUGCAAAAUACUAAGACACAAGUCUCGACACGAAACGUCACCCAUUCCUUCUCUCCAGAGAUGCUGCCUGUCCAGCUGAGUUACUCCUGGAGUAAUAACUGUUUUACUUGUCCUCCUGUUGGUACUUGGGCAGCACAGUAGUACGGGUGUCAGGGGUUAUGGGGAGAAGGCAGGUGAAUAGGGUUAGGAGGGAGAGAUAGAUCAGCCAUGAUUGAAUGGUGGAAUAGACUUGAUGGGCCGAAUUGCCUAAUUCUGCUCCUAUCAUUUAUGAACUUAUGAAAUUGCUGCCUGACAGCCCCAAAGACCCAGAUAUUGACUGGGGGUGCUGUCUGAACAGAGAAACCCUGUGCAUGGGUUUUCUCUGGGUGCUCUGGUUUCCUCCCACACUCCAAAGGGGCUUACAUAAAGUGAACAGUAUUUUCCCAGGAAUCUACAACUAGAAGGAACAGGUUACAGUGAACAGGUUACCGGGCCAAGUUUUUUUUACAUAGAAGGUACAUGGUGUGGACAUGAAAUGAGCUGCUCGAAGUACUGGCAGAGGCG